rnacentral:rRNA from 1 species
AUUGAACGCUGGCGGCAGGCUUAACACAUGCAAGUCGAGCGAGCGGCGGACGGGUGAGUAAUGUCUGGAAAACUGCCUGAUUGAGGGGGAUAACUACUGGAACCGGUAGCUAAUACCGCAUACCAUCAGAUGUUGCCAGAUGGGAUUAGCUAGUAGGUGGGGUAAUGGCGCACCUAGGAGACGAUCCCUGGCUGGUCUGAGAGGAUGACCAGCGACACUGGAACUGAGAAACGGUCCAGACUCCUAGGGGAGGAAGCAGUGGGGAAUAUUGCACAAUGGGCGCAAGCCUGAUGCAGCCAUGCAGCGUGUAUGAAGAAGGCCUUAGGGUUGUAAAGUACUUUCAGUGAGGAGGCGUUACUCGCAGAAGAAGCACCGGCUAACUCCGUGCCAGCAGCCGCGGUAAUAC